AAAUUUUCUUAAGGAACUCGGCAAAAUCCCAAUGGCCCACCAGGGCAUAUUGGAACACGGGCCUCGACUGUUUACCAAAAACAUAGCCCUCGGCCAAUAUGAAAAUAGAUGUAUAGAGGGUGAUGCCUGCCCAAUGGUUGUAUCUAAAAGCGGUUGAUAAAAGUCGACCUCGUAAGGACAAUUGAAUGGCCGCGGUAACACUGACCGUGAUAAUGUAGCGUAAUCAAUAGCCAAUUAAUUGUUGGCCAGUAUGAAUGGCGCCACGAAGGCCCCACUGUCUUAAGGAAAUUCCCAGUGAAAUUGAAUUCGUAGUGAAGAUGCUACGUCCAAUUUGUUAGACGAAAAGACCCCGUUGAGCUUUACUGGGGCACUUACACGGCCCCGGCCUUCCCGUGUUCGGGAACCGGCCGAAUUUAAAUGGGUGGUUUAGACUAUGUGGCAGCCCCCCGCCGGGGCAGAUGAAACCCCACUCCCCCAUGUCAAAGGGGCUAACCCUCCCCUUGGGGGGGACAGUGUAAGUAGGACAGUUUGGUUGGGGCGACCGCCUUUUAAAGAGUAACGAAGGUGCGCUUAAGGUGCGCAAUUAAUGACUGAAGCCUGACUGCGAGGGGGACACCCCGAGCAGACACCCCUAAGCCCGCCCGAAGGGCGGCGGUGGGGUGGGCCAUAGUGACCCGUUAAUUUAGAGUGGAAUAGUUAACGAUCAACGAAUAAAAGUUACCACGGGG
rnacentral:rRNA from 1 species